AUGGAACGGAUGGAAGUGGACCAGUGCGCAGGCGCAGCUGGCGGGGCGGGAGGCGGGGCGCUCCGCAGGUCGAACAGCGCCCCCAUGAUCACCAGUGUCAGCGACGGGAUGGCGAUGUUCAGUCCAGUGUCGUUGGCUCGGUACAGACGCAGCAGUGUGUCCAUCAACCCCAGCGGCCCUUCACAGCUCGUCCCUCUCUCUCCUUUCUCAGCGACCGCAGAGCGACCCGACCACAAGAGGCAGGAGGAGAACAUGGAUACGAUACUUCGAGGAAGUCUGCAGAGACUGAGUGCUUCCAGUCCGAUCCCAGGUCACCCAGUCAGUCAGUGGCACAAUCACACGUCAGUGUGGUCACAGGACAGCGGCGUCACCCCCAGCUCCUCCCCGAGUCCCCCCCGGAGGUUCAGACCAGCAGGGGGGGCCACAGUCAGAUCACCUGCGAUGACUCUGCUCAAGAGAAAAGGAGGGGCGGAGUCCGACGGACCCCCGAAGAAGCUUUUUGUUGCCGGGGUAACGGAUCCCGCCCACCGGAGCAGCAGCUACACCUUCAGGAGAUUCAUUCAUUCAACGCUUCAGUUCUGCGGACGUAUUUCACUCUGGUGGUUUUUCCUCGGUACCUUGAACGCAUCACGAUAACGUGGUCAUGGCCUUCAUCUCAGUACUCAUUUUUACUGGGGCUCGAAAGCAACAUAAUGUGACUCACUUCAAGCUCUGUUAGCGUUAGCUCCCUUACGUAGCCAAGAAGGACUGUGCUGCUAUCGCUAACUAGCGCUUCUCCGUCAGAUUCCACUGAUUGGUUGCUCAAAAUGCAGCGUCAAAUAUCGGAAUUUACUUCUCAUCAUGUAAACAGGAAAAUCUUUACUUUUGUUCUGAGAAACUAAACUUCUCAGAUUUAAACUUUAUGAAUAAAAGUUCUUUGCCCUUUGCUGGUCCUCAUGCUAAGCUAACCUGUAGCCUUUUCACCUUCACCAUCUUACCAGACCUUUUUUUUUUACGGUUUCGUAAGAUUGAUCCAUGAAAAGAUUCAUUUUUUUAAGAAGGAAACUUCAGCACUUUAAUAUGUAUACGUGUGAAGCGCCAUUGCUCUUUGAUUAUUAUUAAACUGUAAAAGCAAAACCAGCAGCAUUUUAAAAUAACAAAUCAGGGUCUGAAGUAAAAUCCACCAGAGUGAGAUGGACUAUAAAUAAUAAAGGGAACUAAAAGUACAACUAUGGAAACAUACACAUGGAUUUCUCAAUGUUGAUCUUUUUUCUGUUUUGGACUAAUUCUAUACGUAAGAAAAAGAGACCAUGUAUUUUUAUGCAACUGUAAAAUAAAAGUAUAUAUUCAAGUGUUUAUUGAAU
ensembl:lncRNA